ensembl:lncRNA
AUCUAUGGACCAAUGUCUUCAAUCUGACAUUAAAGGGACUCUUACCUUUGUUGCAUUUUUACACUUUUUUUGGAUAAGGUUAAAUUGGUAUUAAUAAGGUAAUAACACUCUAAUAUGGAAGACAGACCCACCAGGAGUAAAAACAAACAAUUAUUUUACUCUCAUAAUAUUUAGUGAAAACUUCAACAAAUAAAAUUCUUCGGACCGAAUGACCUUAUUGGCCAACAGACCUGUCUGUUUGCUGCAUGGAUAUAUAAGGUUUUCCGUCUGCUUCUUGUGGCGCAUUCGGGCCCGCGUCAUCAAGGCGCGUCCUCAACUAGAGGGUUUGUUUUGAUUCCACGGCAGACAGUAGCGAGUAGCGACCGUAGCGACUGACGAUGGCAGACCAAAGUGGUCCAUGGCGUACUGAAACUGCACCCAUUCAGGUCCGAUUAGGGACUCAUCUCGGAACUCAGACUCACAGAGUUACCCUCCUCUGGAGCCUCAGGAAGACCUCCAGACUGUUGGCCACCAACUGCACCAUUCAGUCCGACAAGGGGACCCGAUUCGGCCUCAGAAGCCAAGUGGUCCCGCUCCCCUGGAUGAUUCUCAGGACCUCCAGACCGUUGGCAACCAACCGCACCACUUAGUCCGAUUAGGGGACCCGUUUUCGGACUCAGACGCGACGUUGUCCCGCUACUCUGGAGCUCCGGGAAGACCUCCAGACCGUUGGCACCCAACCGCACCACUCAGUCCGAUUACGGGACCCAUUUCGGACUCAGACGCGACGUUGUCCCGCUACUCUGGAGCUACAGGAAGACCUCCAGACCGUUGGCACCCAACCGCACCAUUCAGUCCGAUUAGGGGACCCAUUUCGGCCUCAGACGCUACGUUGUCCCGCUACUCUGUUUGUAAUGCUCAUACACCUUUCUUAUACUCAGUGGGACCACUGUCCUUCAACAUGGGGCCUCAAAACGGUAUCACACGAAGCCCAUAAAAUUACAGUGAGCCACCUGCUAAAUUUCUUGUUUACUAGACCCCUGGUAGAUAUUAUGACCCCUGGGAGUCUAAACAUAACCGAUAACCCAUGGGAGUCUAGAACUUUUGUACUGUAGCGACCCUGGGACAGUUAAAUAGUUUGUGUGUUAUGUGUUACAUUAUAUUUCGUUGUCCGCUAUGCCAGUUGUUCUAUGUGCAUGUAUUGUAAUGUUCUUCUUGUCAAUCAGCGUGGGGGGCGAAUCAUUAGGUCAGCUGGGGAGGGCCUUGGAAGAACAGGAGGGUGGGGGCCUGCACGCGAGUGAGACCGUGUUGGGGGUUGCCGGGGUAACCGGGGUUUGUUUUGUGUCGGUUUUCUGCCGUUGGUUACAAUGUUACGGGUUUCAGUGACCUGGUUUUGGUUCAUUAAAACUACCUUCAACUACUAAUGACUCGACAUCAUUAUGUCACCGGCGAGGUCGUUACAGUACUCUAAAAAAUAACGCUUAGUUUUGUACUCUAAAAAAUAACGCUUAGGGGGUGGGGCAUUGGAGGAAGGCGGGAUGAUUUGAAUGUGCUGUAAUUUUCAAAUGCAACAAAGGUAAGAGUCCCUUUCAGCAAAGUCUGUACAAUAAAAAAACUAAUGCGCCCAGGAGCCAUUGACUUCUAAAAAGGGUGUAGUUUAAAACGUGUAAAG